AGUCAUAUGCUUGUCUCAAAGAUUAAGCCAUGCAUGUCUCAGUACAAGCCAAAUUAAGGUGAAACCGCGAAAGGCUCAUUAAAUCAGUUAUGGUUCCUUAGAUCGUACACACAUUUACUUGGAUAACUGUGGUAAUUCUAGAGCUAAUACAUGCCAACAGAACUCCGACCGGAGACGGAAGGAGUGCCUUUAUUAGAUCAAAACCAAUCGGUGGCGCGGCUUCGGUCGUGUCAUCGUACAACAUGGUGAAUCUGAAUAACGUUUGCUGAUCGCACGGUCUCGCACCGGCGACGCAUCUUUCAAAUGUCUGCCUUAUCAACUGUCGAUGGUAGGUUCUGCGCCUACCAUGGUUGUAACGGGUAACGGGGAAUCAGGGUUCGAUUCCGGAGAGGGAGCCUGAGAAACGGCUACCACAUCCAAGGAAGGCAGCA
rnacentral:rRNA from 1 species